GACGUAGGGCGCAAGCGUUGUCCGGAUUUAUUGGGCGUAAAGAGCUCGUAGGCGGCUCGUUGCGUCGGCUGUGAAAACUCGAGGCUUAACCUCGAGCUGUCGGCGGAAACCAUCUGGCUAGAGUCCGGAAGAGGAGAAUGGAAUUCCCGGUGUAGCGGUGAAAUGCGCAGAUAUCGGGAAGAACACCCGUGGCGAAGGCGGUUCUCUGGGACGGUACUGACGCUGAGACGCGAAAGCGUGGGGAGCGAACAGG
rnacentral:rRNA from 1 species